AUUCAGUAAAUAUUUCAUCAGGAGAUCUCCCUGCUCCGCCUGCUGCACCUCUUACAACUCCUCUAAAACCCAGAGUCAGCAGAAACAGGUUCACCGUACAGGACUCAGGCGAGUCUGCCUCCGUACACUUUAACUAACUGUGUCUUUGUGUCUCUUUCACCUGAGUCGUUUCUUAAUGAUCCCUGAAUCUCUGUGUUAGCUUCACUUCUGUUAAUAGAUGAGCUGUUGUUCAAGGAGAGCACAAAGCUGCACAACAGCUCUUAAAUUAUAGUUUAGCUGAGAGACUUUUUACAACCUCUGCACAUUAUCCAGCAGAGCUCAGAUACUGUAUAUAUUAUGUAGGGUUUUCUCCCUAUAUGUCUUUAUUCCUGUGUCCGCAGAGUUUUUGUUUUUUGCCUGACUCAGCAGGACACCAUGGAGCCGUAUGGAUCUUUGUUAUUUAAUGAACGACAGAAACAGUCGGCUCUUAGAGACCAAACAACUUUUACAGGUUUCUGCCUGGUGAAUCCUCAGGAAGGAUCAGCUGAGACUCUCCUCACCUCUGCUGGGGGAUUAUAGAUCCACAGUCUCAUCUAACUCAAUAAUCCAUCCACUUCUCCCCACAUUCAUGAAUCACACACUGAGAACAAGAUCUGUCUUUUGACUCUUUAAUUACACUAAAAGGUUUGUUUCCCAGUCGUCCACCUGUAGAUACCCAGAGAGUAAUCUGUAUUUUAUUGGUACCAUUGUAUUCAUUGUAUUCAUACAAUGAAAUGUAUUCUUUAUUAGAAUGUGUUUCAGAUUCAUUUCCUCAGUUUGUUUGGUUGUUUUCAGAGACACAGCUGUAAAGAGUGUCAGUCAAACACAGAGCUGAGAGGGAAUCAUCAGGAGACAAACAGGAACUGACAAACUGUCUUCUGUUCUUUAGGUGUGAGGACUUAUUGGUUGUGUUGGAGUUGCAGUGAAAGAGUGAUGGAGUGGUAGAGAGAAGUGAAAUGAGGCUGACCUCUGAGUUUGUCAUUGCCAGGGUUAAAAUGGAGAUUCUGUCCCAGCAGACAGAGACUGAUGUCCCAUCUUCUCCCUCUCUCUUCUCAUGUUUCUCUUUCCUUUGUCACUCACAUAUUUCCAACCCUCCUCUUCCUGUCUGCAUCACUCUCUCCCCCUGCCUCCCCCUGCCUCCCCCCGCCUCCCUGUGUCCUGUGGGGAUGUUCCCAGGGAGCCAGUGGAGGGUGAGGAUGAUUGAGAUGGAUGUCCCGCUGGCUGGCUGAAGGACAGGGACACAGAUAGAGCCUGCUGGGGUCUCUACAGCAGCAGCUCCGAGUCACUGCUCUGCUGGGCAGCGUUUUCUCACAUCAGCCGCUGAUUGAUGAUGUUUGACAAAAGUGUGAAAAGGUUUGAAGACGGCGGGCAGGUUUGUUGUCCAACACGAGACACAGACAGCUGCCACGCGCUCAGUGCUGACACAUCACUUCAUUAAGACUCUACAGAACCACUGUUUCAGCACAGGUCGUCUUGUUAACCCUGAUAAAGUAAACGUGGACUCCUACAGUAGAGGCCAUAAAUCUGAGCAUCAGAGAAACGAGAGACAGAACAGGUGUGUUGUUGUUCUCCUGAAGUCCAGAACGAGGCUCUGUCACAGGAGGAGGUCACUAAAUGAAAGAUGUGUCAUUCUAACAACUCAGCAAAUGCUCCUGUUGUCUCUGUCAUUUCCUCUGAUGCCGCUGCUGAGUCCUGAAAGAUCCUGUUUAUUGAAUUCAGACGUUUUUAGAAUUAAGGAAGAACUGUGUACAAGUGAAAGGAAAGUGGUCAGAGUACACCAGAGACCAGGGUUCAGACAUCUGAAGGUGUCGUCGUCGUGUGUAGUUUCAGUUAAUUAUUGAUACUAACUGUAACCAAAGAGCUGUGAGCAUCUAAACAUGAACAGGCACAAUCACGACUUGAUGCUACAGGUGGUGGAAGAUAAAGGAACGUAUUGUACCUUGGUAGAUUUGUUAGUUAACAACAUAUCCUCAUCACAUGUAAUUAGCAGCUACAUCUAUAAAUGUAGUAGAAGAAGAGAGCAGCAGAAAAUGUCUGUCCUGUGUGAAGCGGCUCAUGUUCACAUGAACAACAUGACUGUGACCUGAAGCAUCUGAUUCAGCUUCAGGUUAAUGUUUUGCUUUGUGUUGUAGUGAUGAGACUCUGAUGGAGGAGAGAGAGACGAUCCCUCUGCUUUAGGCUCCACACAUGAUGCAACCUGGACUUCAUCCCUCUGCAGCCUCACAGAGUCUGUCCAGAGAUUCAGCUCCUGUUCUCCUCUCCGGCUCGGCCUUUAACACCAUCCACCUAGAGCUCCUACAGACCGAGUCCUCCCAGCUGACUGUGUCUGACCUGAUGUGUCUGUGGAUCACUGACGCUCUGACAGACAGGAAGCAGCAGGAGAGGCUGAGCGAGGCUGAGCUUCCUCUUCUGAAUCUGACCCUCACAUCUGCCGACACAGUCGAGGUAUGAAAACAUCCACCGGAACACAGCGAGACUCGUGCAAAGAACAGUUUCAUAGUCUUAUGUUAAAUCUCUGUUUUUUUUCUUUUUCUUUUUGAAUUCUCUUUUCCAAAGCUAAAUCUAAAGAUUAAAUAAUUAAUAUUAAAUUUCCUCAGCAGCAGUGAAGGAGAAGUUC